AAGGGUUGGCAGUGGAGGCAAGAGUUUCCAGGCACUGGAGAUCCCUGCCUACCAAAGGUCUUCUGUAGGAACAGAAACAAUUUCUGAUUUUACCCUUCUCCUCCAUGGAUAGUGAGCAUGAGCAUGGGAUUAGGACCGGCUGUUUGUGAGCUCUCUUUGUGUGUCAACCUGAGCUGCAGCAUCUUUUUUUGGCUGAGCUCCUCCAGCACUGGCUGCCUGCCCACUGUGGGCUGUCUCUGGGCAGGUUUGAGCAUCCCCUGUAAAAUAAUUUGGACCUUCAGCUUCCAGAAAUCUCUGCAGUGUCCUGAGGAUGGUAAACAUGCUGUGGGAUGGCUGGGCAUCGAAAGGAUCUGUCCCUCAGUAAAACUACCUUUGUAUUGGCAAGGGCAUUGGGAUUACACAACACAUCUUGGCUUCUUAAUUGUGAUUUUUCCAGCCUUCCUUCCCACCCACUGUGCCUGGGAUUACACCUGUCUUAGUGUACAUGUUCUACACUGCUGUGUUCCAGCUUGGAUGCUCUCCCUUAAAAACAAUUACUUCAUGUGUUGGGUCUAGUUAACACUCCUUUGCAGUGCUCAAGCUCAAUGACCCUGCAGACGCUGAGUGUUAGCAGUUGAGCUCUAGUUGCCAUAUGUAACUCUCAUUACCUCAGUGUAGACAAGACCUGUUUACACCUUUAGAGCUUUAAAAUCUUUGAAGCGAAUCAGCUGCGGGAGGCUUGAUAGCAAUUUUUUUUUCCUUCCCAGUGAUGCUGAGUACCAGUAUGUGCCUAUAACUUCACUGGAGCUAUGGGAGAUGGACACCUGUGGAAGCUCAGACAACUUUUUGCCCUCCUCUGCCCCACUGAAAUCAUCACUGCAAACACAGCCAGGUCUUUGUGGAUUUUCUUCGUUUCAGAUGCGAAGGUGACUGACCAGCUGUUGUUUGAGUACUGCAGAGACCUUUGGAGAACCAUACGUGUUCAGCUGGGGAUGAAGGGCUAAAUUCAGACCACUUGUGCUCUUGGCAUGCUACUCGCCCUCAUCAGUGCUGUGUUUGCUUUAGAAGUCUGACUUAGCUGGCAUGUCUCCGUUGUUGGCUAAUGAGGAUUAAUUUUGAUUCUCUUCAGGCUCCAGAGAAACAGAUUGUGGAGGGGCUUUCAUCACAGGGGGAAUUAAGGAAGCUAGCAAAGUAUCUUAACCCAAACCACACCACUGAUGGCUUUCAGUCAGAAAGGAGGACAGAUGAGAUUAACCUCAAAACCCCUCUGCUUCCUUGUGGGGACUAUAAAGCCCAGUGCCAAGUGAGAGAAGAAUGCAGGAAAAGAAUCAUUUUAAUGUGGAUGUGUAAGAAACUGGACCACCAAGUCCAUUCCACAUUGGCCACUGAGCAGUCAUCAGAGGGUGUUGACUUUUGACCACUACUGUUUUUGUUAACAAGGAAAAUAAAACCAUAUGUUGCCUAAGUAGAUGCACAAAACUUUUCUCCAAAUCCCUACAGACAAACUGUCAGCAGCAAAAGUAUUUACUUUGGUAAUGCAGCUGGGCUUAAUCCCAGCCCCAUUGUGUUUGUGCAUGCCUUUUCACCACUGAGCUCAAUAACACGCUGCUUGUGAAGAGGGUGAAUGAAUGCAUGCAGUAUGAUUUCUGUUAUUAGGCCUAUCGGUUACAUCCCGAGACAAAAGGCUGGAAUCAACAAUGGUAGCACUACAUAGGCACUGCUCAUGCUUUGAGUUAGCCUAAGUGGAAAUCUUAGUCAUAAGUCACAUCAACUAGCCAUCAGUUUGAGGUAGGCCAGCAGGACUUGGCCCAGUGGUGCGGAUCCUCAGCUGCCUUAAAUCAGCAUAAAGGCAGUGUAGUCCAAGGAGCCCCAGCUGAGGAUUCUGGCGCCUACUGUCUAUUUGUGAGCUUAGUGGUUGCUAAAUACUUAAUUUGCCGGGCUGCAAGCUGCUAUGGCUGAGCAGCUGGGGGUAGCAUAGCCUGGUGGGGUCCCCAGCUGGGACCUCUGCAGGUAUAGACAUCUUUUGGGAUUGUGCCCAGAGUGACAGGACCACCACGUGCUGAUCUUCCUCUCCUUCCAGCUUCCCUGGUAUUCCCACGUUGAAUAAGUUGGCUGGGACAUUGCAGAGGUAGAGGGCAAGAGUGGCAGUUGGGUGGAAAGGUGUAUGGAUUGGGUGUGAAUGCCAAGGAGAUCUGUGAUUCAGUGUAUUUCUGAGAAUGAUUUGGUAAUAGAGAUGGCAGUGAGGAAUGCGUUACAGAUCUGACCUCAGGUCUGUGAUGGGCUCUCCAUGGAAGAUGUGUCCAAAAAUAGCUGCUUUCUGUGAUUAAAUUAAUAUGCAGGGAAUAUGUUGCGUGUGUUCCUGAAGUGAUUUUUCUGUUAUACGCAUUAAAACAAGGCCAUCACUGACUGUUUGAGGUCAUCUAUGGGUUGGGGGCUGGCUGAUGUGGGUCUGCAUGCAGUGCCCUGAAGUGAUACCCGAACUAGACAAAUGUGUCUCUGCAUUGGCUUGGCAUGAUUCCCUCCCAGAGAAGAAAUAACUAUUCAUUUCAGGCUUUGCUGGGACAAGAGGCUCCUUUCUAUGAUAACAAGCUCUCUUUCCUGGUUACAAGACCUAUGUAACAUGGGAGGAGAAAUAAAUGAGUGAGUUAUAGAAUCCUAGAAAUAUUGAAUCCUGGCAGUUGUAAAAGACCACUAAGGUCAUCUAGUCCAACUAUCAAUCCAUCCCAUCAUGCACACUUAACCGUGUCCCUCAGUACCACAUCUUCAUGUUUCUUGAACACCUCCAGGGAUGGUCAUUCCACCACCUCCUUGGACAGCCUGUGCAUAUGCAUUAAUACUCUUUCUGGGAAGAAAUUCCUCCUAAUAAAUAUACAGUCUCAUGUGGAAGGUGAGGAAAGAUCUGGAAGAACUGGGAUGAAUGGAAGCUUUCUGUGCAACUUAGAGCUACACAGUUGUGAUCUGUCUGUAAUGUGUGGGAAUGAGACAGGAAUAGUCAUAACACUUGGUACCUAAUCUAGCUUGUUUGCAUCUCUCCACGAGCCUUCAUCAAGCUUCCAGCAUAACUUAUUCUCAAGCACAGAGUUCCUCUGGACAUGGAUUUUGACACAGGCAUAUCCAGAAAAGAAAGUCAAAGGCACUGUGCCCACUGCUGUCACUGCAGACAUCUGUAAGUGAGGUCCAUGCUUGGUGCUGACAUUGCCUUCGUGGCAGUGUGUGCUGGACACAGCUUUCUGUAGUGCUGUAGGAUGUGGAGGACCUGGAGGCAGUGUGCUGCCAGCAUGUCCCAGUCCUCAUUGUGCUCUGCUGGUGGUCCAACACCAUUCUCACCCUAUUGAAAAGUGACAGGACUGCUUUACAAAGCAGGAAAGCUGUGGCUGCUGCAAUUCCAGUUUGGAAAGUGGAGAAAUGCCACCUGUCCUCACUGUCAUCAGAAGAGCUGAAAUAUUCCGAUUAAAACCCAGAGUCCUUUUUAGCAUGGCUGCAGCUGGAGCAUGGAAGCAGCUCUGUGAAAAGCUGUUUCAGUGGCCUCUCUUUGUACUCCAUAGAGAUGAAUUUCUAUCAAAAUGAGUUGUGCUGUGGGCCUAAGGAACCCCCAAAAAAUGGUUCCUCAGUGCAAAUUAACCCAUUCCCAAACUCCGGAAAUAAAUCAGGAAAGGAG